UUUAACUGAAGAGUUUGAUCAUGGCUCAGAUUGAACGCUGGCGGCAGGCUUAACACAUGCAAGUCGAGCGGGGGAAGGUAGCUUGCUACUGGACCUAGCGGCGGACGGGUGAGUAAUGCUUAGGAAUCUGCCUAUUAGUGGGGGACAACAUCUCGAAAGGGAUGCUAAUACCGCAUACG
rnacentral:rRNA from 1 species